CCAUUUGCAAAUAUUUUCUCUCAUUCAAUAGGUUGUCUUUUCAUUUUAUCAGUGAUUUCCUUUGCUGUGCAAAAGCUUUUAAGUUUAAUUAGGUCACACUUGUUAUUUUUGGUUUUGUUUCCUUUGGCUUCAGAGAUUGAUCCAAAAACAUAUUGCUGUUAUUUAUGUCAAAGAGUGUUCUAUGUUGUCUUUUACGAGCUUUAUGGCUUUCAGUCUUGCAUUUAGGUCUUUAACCCAUUUUGAGUUUAUUUUUGUAUAUAAUGUGAGAAAAUGUUCUAAUUUCAUCCUUUUACAUAUAGCUAUCGUCUUUUACGAGCUUUAUGGCUUUCAGUCUUGCAUUUAGGUCUUUAACCCAUUUUGAGUUUAUUUUUGUAUAUAAUGUGAGAAAAUGUUCUAAUUUCAUCCUUUUACAUAUAGCUAUCCAGUUUUCCCAGCAUCACUUAUUCAAAAGAUAGUCUUUUCUCCAUUGUCUACUUUUGCCUCCUUUGUUGUAGAUUAGUUGGCCGUAAGAGUGGGGGUUUAUUUCUGGGCUUUCCAUUCUGUUUCAUUGUUCUUUGGGUCUAUUUCUAUGCAAGUACCAUGUUAUUUUGAUUACUGUAGUUUUGUAGUAUAGUCUGAGGUCUGGGAGCAUACCUCUAGCUUUGUUCUUUUUUUCUUGAGAUUGCUUUGGCAAUUCAGAUCCUUUAUGGUUCCAUACUUGUUCUAAAUUUUCUGAAAAAUGUCAUGUGUAUUUUGAUAGCUAGGGAUUGUGUUAAAUCUGUAGAUUGCCUUAGGUAGUAUAGUCAUUUUAACAAUAUUAAUUAUUUCAAUCCAUGGACAUGGGAUAUCUAUCAUAAUUUAUUAAAAUUCAUUAGGCUUAUAUUUUUUUCCUUCACACUUGUCUGCUGAUCCAGAAAGAAUAUUAUGUGCUAUUCGCUGUUCCAAGUGCUAUACAAAUAUUAACUUAACAUAAUCCUUGGAAUCUUAUGAAGUAAUUACAGUGUUAACCCCACUUUGAGGUUGAGGAAGCUAAAGCACAGAGGGGUAAAGUAACUUGUCCAAGGUCACAUAGCCAGUAGUUUCUCCCCAUGCAAAUCAAAAUACUCUCUUUUCUCUUCCCAUAGUGAUAGAAUUUUAGACCUAGCUCAGGAGACAUGGAGUCUUUAGAGCCAAAAAGGAAAUUAAAAUUAUUUUUCUAGCCACACUUCAUCUUACAAAUGUUAACACUGAGUUUUGGAAAGAUAACAGGGGUCAUCCACAGCCAGGCAGCUGGUUAUUGUCCAUUUUCAGAGGUGGGGCCCAGUGUCAUCCAUUCCUCAAUAAGAAGCUACCACAUUAGUUCACUUUUAUCACAGCCACACAUUAGCAUAUUAGAGAUCCCUCAUCUAACAUGAGGUAAAUGCAGUGUAAUUCCUAUGAGGCCCUAAAUCCUCUAUCAAAAAAAGGUAGGAGUUCCCAUUAUAGCGCAGUGGAAACAAAUCCUACUAGGAACCAUGAGGUUGUGAGUUCGAUCCCUGGCCUUGCUCAGUGGGUUAAGGAUACAGCGGUGCUAUGAGCUGUGGUGUAGGUUGCAGAUGUGGCUCAGAUCUCAUGUUGCUGUGGCUGUAGUGUAGGCUGGCAGCUGUAGCUCAGAUUCUACCCCUAGCCUGGGAAUCUCCAUAUGCCAUGGGUGUGGCCCUAAAAAGAAAAAAAAAAGAGUGGGGUUAGAUUGGGAGUUUGAGGGAUUCCCACUGGGGCCAUGAGACCAUCAAGAGAGUUGAACACUGGCACAGGGAUCCUUCCCAGCACCCCUCAGAUGAAGCCAUAUGGUUACCUAUCUACACCACAUGUGCCCUUAGCCAGACACACUAUAAGCUUCAGAUGACCAGAAAACAUUAAAGCAAGGCAUGCCUUGUUCUGGGAUCCCUGAAUAGGGCAAUUAUUCUAGAAAGUGAGACUAUCUGAAUGACCCAAAGGUCUUCCAAUCCAUCAUUCUAUUACAGAAAAGGAAUAAGGAAAAAGCCCAGGCCAGUUUUAAAUAGGGUAUUCCUUUUGUGGCACCCAGGGGCGGGUGCCAGGCUUCAGAGGUACUUCCUUUCAGGAAGUAAGAGGCAGAAGAUCAGUCAGCCCAGGACUCCAUGGGUGCUUAAUAAAGGUCCUUAAGGCAGCCUCCUGAGGCUCCAGCAUUUCUCUUUAGGUCAAUGAAGCAUUGAUUUUCCAAAGACAAGUGAGUUCCUGGCUGGCUCCAGGUAAGAACAUUGGAACUCCUCACAUUUCACAAGCUACCCUGGCUCCUGGCUUCCUGUCACAAACAUUUAUAUUUCCUGCCCAUUUAUCCCUAAUUUUCCAGGGAGUUGUGUGAGGACUUAUAAUUACCAUGCAUAGGGCCCCAUAAUGCUUUUCAUUUUCAAAGCACUCAGCAAAUAUAAGCAAACACUCAUAACACCCAUAUUGGCCAAGUCAGCAUGUUUUCUCCCCAUUUGGUACCUGAAUGCCGGGAGGCUCCCAGGGGGCGACUUGGACAAUACAAUAUUGUGAAGCUCAGAUGCAUGGUGCCAGCUUCUUUCUGGUGUCACCUCUCCCUGGCAUCCUCCUACAUAAUGCCAUUUUUUCCACUGAGAACAGUACAGGGGCCUGACCUGGUGGCCCACUUUGUGCUCUGUAACCCACUGUCCUGCCAGGUGGGAAUCAUUCAUUUGUAAGCCCAUUGUUCACAGCAAGGCUGGUGGACAAAUUCAAAGCUGAGGAUAAAGAGAAAGUUUACCUCACGAGUGGAAGUAAUUUUGUAAGCUGUGAGAGAGGAGCUAUACAUAGUAGUAAUACACCCUGCAUAUUACUGUGAGGAUGGGAGAGAAUAAGGAUAAAUUAGGGACAGUGAGACCAGAAGACCUUGUAACUUGGACCCACCUUUCUCAGUGUCCAGGGGCCUUGGAACCACAGCCCACAAGUGAGGCGCUCUGGCAUGAGAACACAUACACUCACAAAAUUGUGUCUGGCGUGUGUCACAAAAACAAUACUCAUUGUCGGCAAGUGGGUGACAAGAAGAACCAGCCAAGAACUUGGCACUGCUCCGAUUUUUGCCCAAGAAAUGGCAAAAAGACAAAAAAAAAAAAAAAAAACAAGGGCUUGAAACUGCCUAAUAUCAUGUUCACCAAAAAUUGACCACUUUUCUGCUCACUGGCAUUACUUUUCUGUGUGUUCGUGAUCUCCUUCAGUUAAUCUUUGUGAUGUGAAUCUUUGGGGACUUUGUAUUUUUAGGAAAAUGCUGUCAAUGGAAAACAUCCUAACUAGAAGAUCUCUCUCUCUCUCUGCUUGAGUUGUAGCAAAACGUACAAUGACUCUCUCUGCAGCUAAGGCCUGGUGCAAAACUUCCCAUCUUAAGUCACUGGAGAAUCUUCUCAUCCCAGCUCUGGGGUGAGCUGCUCAUUUCAGGGCUUAGUACUGUGUCCAGAACCACCUCUCAC
ensembl:lncRNA